ensembl:lncRNA
UUCUUAGUGAAAUUGGACCAGUCUAAGCAACCAGACAGUGCAGUUCAGGAAACCAGGCUGAAGAACGUGAAGUAUAUCGCCCAAAGUCAGACACGAAGGAACAACUGCUUUGGAGCUAGCACAUUCCUGAGCUGGAAUUGCACCACUGGUCAAUGGGACUGCAGAAUCCAAACUGCUUUCUACCGGAACAACUCCUUCCCUGCAGGAAGCAGGGUGCUCAUGGCUGAACCAUGGUCUGAGAAGGUUGAUGAAGUCACUGACUCAGCCCCAGCAAGGAAGUUGUCCUUCGACUUCUGACCUCUGGCCAUGUUUGAAAACCAACUCAAAUCGUCUUUCUUUUUCAGGUAAAGAUAAAAUGAUGCCAUGAAUUUCUAUUUUCUUUUAUUCAGGGCACAACUAGGCUAAUAUUGAACAAACUUCAAGGAAAUGAAAGACACAAGGGGUUUGAGAAACUGAAUGUAGAGCCUGCCUCUUGGAAAAUGAUCCGUUCCCAGACCUGAGUCAUUAGGGCAGGUGCACGGAGCACCUGCACACUGGGCUAUUGCCCAGAGGUUCUCCAGCUAGGGGGACUGGAAGACCCCAAACUGGUGGUGUCACCCAGGCCAAAGCUGGCCUCUCGGUCUUAUUUUUUUUUAUGUUUUAUUUUUUGAGAUGGGGUCUCACUCUGUCUCCCAGGCUGGAGUGCAAUGGCAUGAUCAUGGCUCACUGCAGACUUGACUUCCCCAGGUCAAGUGAUCAUCGCACCUCAGCCUCCUGAGUAGCUGGGACUACAGGUACACAGCACCACACCCAGCUAAUUUUUUUUGUAUUUUUUGUAGAGGCAGUAUUUUGCCAUGUUACUCAAGCUGGUCUUGAACUCCUGGGCUCAAGCAAUCCACUUGCUUCGGCAUCUCAAAGUGUUAGGAUUACAGGCGUGAGCCGCCAUGCCCGGCCCCUGUCUUAUUUGAUUAGAGAAAGAAGCAGCACAGAGCGAAGAGAGGCAGGCUGUUUAGAUGCUCAUCAAAUGAGCCCUACAGGUGCUUUUUAACACUCUUCCUUGUAAUUUCGCAGAGACAGGGAGCAGACUACUGGGAACUGACUAGGUAUUAUAUAACUAACUUAGAUAACUCUUCAUCUUCUUUUAAAACUCAGAAACACCUGUUAUACUGCUUUUAAAGUCAGUCUUACUAGGUUACCUCACAGGAGUUUGAGAAAUAGUUUUCUCUUGAUUACUUCUUUUUUGCUCACAAUGUUACACACCUGUCAAGCAUGUGGCAACAAUGUUUGUUCAAAUCUCUCUGGAGUUACAAUUCACACUGAUGGUGAUAUGGUCUGAAUUUGUAUCCCCGCCCAAAUCUCAGUGAAAUUGGAGGAGGGGCUUCGUGGGAGGUGAUUGGAUCAUGGGGGUGGAUUUCUCCCUUGCUGUAAUAGUGAGUGCGUUAUCAAGAGAUCUGAGGGUUUAAAAGUGUGUGGAGCUUCCGCUUUUCUCUCUCUCUCCCGUGAAGAAGCUGCUUGCCUCUGCUUUACCUUCCACCAUGAUUAUAAGUUUCCUGAGGCCUCCCAGUCAUGCUUCCUGUUAAAACUGUGGAACUGUGAGUCAAUUAAAUCCCUUUUCUUCAUAAAUCACCCAAGCUCAGGUAGUUCUUUAUAGCAGUGUGAGAAUGGACUAAUAUAGACGCUUAGUUUAUUGGUUCUCAAACUUCAGUGUGUGUCUUAAAACACGGAUUGCUGGGUUCCAUCUCCAGAGUUUCUGAUUUUUAAAGUCUGAGGUGGGCCCUAAAUUUUGCAGUUUAAACAAGUUUGCUGGGGGAUGAUGAUGCUGCUGUUUCAGCGACCAUACCUGGGAGUUACUACCUUAGUUACUGUAAGAUUGUUCAGCUCAAGAUAGAAGUAUUGUUGUUUGUCCCUAUCGUGCCUUCCCCUUAGCUGGUAGGAAAAGGUGGUAAUUAAGAGGGCAGGCUCUGAAAACAGACAGAACUGUGUUUGAAUUCUUCCUCCAACCCUUCAACUACUGUGAUCUUGGCUACAUUUGUUUAAAUUCUCAGAACAUCAGUUUUCAGGCCUAAAGAAUAGAAAUAGUCGCAUCUAGUUCAUAGGGCUGUGUGUCAUGAGACAACACAUAUAAUUGGCCUAGCAUCUAUUGUAUACUAUGUUGACAUCUAGUAUGUAUACAAUAAGUGGUAGUUACUUCUUUUCUUUUCUUUUUUUUUUUUAAGACAGAGUCUCGCUCUGUCUCCCAGGCUGGAGUGCAGUGGCGCGAUCUCAGCUCACUGCAACCUCCACCUCCCGGGUUCACGCCAUUCUCCUGCCUCAGCCUCCCGAGUAGCUGGGACUACAGGUGCCCGCCACCACGCCUGGCUAAUUUUUUUGUAUUUUUAGUAGAGAUGGAGUUUCACCAUGUUAGCCAGGGUGGUCUCGAUCUCCUGACCUCAUGAUCCGCCCGCCUUGCCUGCCAGAGUGCUGGGAUGACAGGUGUGAGCCACCGCACUCAGCCAGUGGUAGUUAUUUCUAAGAGUUCUUGCAUAUCUUUGAAGUAGCUUUUUAGGUUUAUUAAAAAAUAGACCAAAAUUAAAAUAAUUAAAUGUAAGGCAUGGUUACUUUUAAAUA